rnacentral:rRNA from 1 species
UGGGGAAUAUUGGACAAUGGGGGCAACCCUGAUCCAGCAAUGCCGCGUGUGUGAAGAAGGCCUGCGGGUUGUAAAGCACUUUCAGUAGGGAAGAAAUGUUUGGGGUUAAUACCCCCGAAUCUUGACGUCACCUACAGAAGAAGCACCGGCUAACUCCGUGCCAGCAGCCGCGGUAAUACGGAGGGUGCGAGCGUUAAUCGGAAUUACUGGGCGUAAAGCGCGCGUAGGCGGUUUGGUCAGUCGGAUGUGAAAGCCCCGGGCUUAACCUGGGAAUUGCAUUCGAUACUGCCAAGCUAGAGUAUGGGAGAGGGAAGUGGAAUUUCCGGUGUAGCGGUGAAAUGCGUAGAUAUCGGAAGGAACACCAGUGGCGAAGGCGACUUCCUGGACCAAUACUGACGCUCAGGCGCGAAAGCGUGGGUAGCGAACAGGAUUAGAUACCCCCGUAGUCC